rnacentral:misc_RNA from 1 species
CUCUCUGGCCAUGAACAACAACAACAACAUUACCAACCAGACUAACAACAAUAACAACAACGUUAGUAGCAACAACAAUAAUUUGUUAAAUGCGACAAACGCAAACGUCGUGGCGUUGACGCAAACCAAGAACGAGCAAGAACAACCUGAUAACGACACGAUAAAGAUGUUCGUGGGACAAGUGCCUCGUUCGAUGGACGAGAACGACUUAAGGAGAAUGUUUGAGGAAUACGGCAGGGUACACUCAAUAAACGUACUUCGGGAUAAAGCAACGGGAGCCAGUAAAGGAUGCUGUUUUGUGACGUUCUUCACAAGAAAAGCUGCCCUACUGGCUCAAGAUGCUCUGCACAACGUGAAGACUUUAAAUGGGAUGCAUCAUCCCAUUCAGAUGAAGCCGGCCGACAGCGAGAAUAGGAACGAAAGAAAAUUAUUCGUUGGAAUGUUGAGUAAAAAGUUGUGCGAAAACGAUGUACGUGCCCUUUUCAACGGAUACGGGACAAUCGAAGAGUGCACCGUGUUAAGAGAUCCGGCGGGAAAUUCUCGCGGUUGCGCGUUCGUCACCUUCGCCUCCAAACAAUCUGCCUUAAGUGCUAUCAAAGGCCUUCAUCAAUCACAAACGAUGGAAGGCUGUUCAGCGCCUUUAGUAGUCAAAUUCGCCGAUACGCAAAAAGAAAAAGAACUGAAACGGCAACAACAGAUGCAAGCCAAUGUCUGGAAUGCCUUAGCAGCACCAACGUUAGCUUCACCACCUCAGCAAUUCUCCCCCGUUCUACCCACCGAAGCAACGUCGCUACAGCUUCUUCAAGCGAUGGGAGGAGCCGGCUUGUUGCAACAGCAAUUCCUUAGUGGGACUGAAAACCUUUUAGCACCCAUCGGGGUACAAAAUCUGGUGACCUUGGCGGCCAUGUCGCAACCGGCUACCGCGGCUACAGCGCCUUUCAUGGCUAAUUUGUUGGGAAAGGGCGCGGGGGUUGAAAGGACGCUUAACGCGAGUUUGCAUCCAACGGCGCUUACGACGUCGGAUUUGUCGUCUUACGGAUCGUUAAUUAGUAAUGCUACAAUAAAUGCUGCGGCGAUGGCUGCAGCGGGAAAACAGAUUGAGGGUCCAGAUGGUUGUAAUCUGUUCAUAUACCACCUCCCGCAAGAAUUCACCGAUACGGAUCUUGCGUCAACAUUUCUCCCCUUCGGUCCAGUCAUAUCCGCCAAGGUGUUCAUAGAUAAACAGACAAAUCUGUCCAAAUGUUUUGGUUUUGUUUCAUUUGAUAACGCGCAUUCAGCUCAACAAGCCAUAUCAGCUAUGAACGGCUUUCAGAUAGGCACCAAAAGGCUGAAAGUACAACUAAAAAGGGCCAAAGAUGCCUCCAAACCUUACUAGCCAAAGAAGCGAGAGAGCCAAUUAGACGCAGGUCUGCCCAGGUACAUAGCAGGCCUCUGUGAUCAACAAUAUCUAUUUUUCUCCUGCGCAAACGAGCCACACCGAUUUUCCUUUAUUUUACUUCAGGUCAAGAAGCGUGUGAUGCUGCUGCCGGCCUCGUCCGAUUGGUCCAAAAUCCAGCACAGUGCCAGUGCAGUGCAAUCUCAGGAUCUAGCUGCUAUUUUUAUGAACUGGCCUCUUAACAUGAAGUUGGCUUAUGGGAUUCGACGUAUUAGGAGGUUUGUGGAUGCUUGGCAUAUUGAGACGACGUAGGUGAGCCAUGUUUGGAUGUCCCAUCAUACCGGGAGAAGGUCUGUAGUACGCAUCGCCAUUCAUUAAAUGCUGAAAAAAAAAUAAAUAAAUUUAGAUAAACUUCACUGA